UAAUCCCGUACAUGGCUUGGAGCGCCCGAGGCUUUGUGAUACGCUUUCUAAGAGUCGAGUUGUUUGGGAAUGCAGCUCAAAAUGGGUGGUAAAUGCCAUCUAAGGCUAAAUAUUGGGGAGAGACCGAUAGCGAACAAGUACAGUGAUGGAAAGAUGAAAAGAACUUUGAAAAGAGAGUUAAACAGUACGUGAAAUUGCCAAAAGGGAAGGGUAGGAGGUCAGAGAUGCGGCCUGGGAUUCAGCCUUGCUUUUGCUUGGUGUUUUUCCCAGAUUGCAGGCCAACGUCGGUUUUGGGCACUGGAGAAGGGUAGGAGGAACGUGGCACCCCUCGGGGUGUGUUAUAGCCUCCUACUGGAUACAGCGACCGAGACCGAGGACAGCAGCGUACUCGCAAGAGCGG
rnacentral:rRNA from 1 species